rnacentral:rRNA from 1 species
UACGUAGGGUGCAAGCGUUGUCCGGAAUUACUGGGCGUAAAGCGCGCGCAGGCGGCGGUGCUGGCCCGGCGUGAAAGCCCCCGGCUCAACCGGGGAGGGUCGUCGGGGACCGCACCGCUUGAGGGCGGUAGGGGCUGGUGGAAUGCCUGGUGUAGUGGUGAAAUGCGUAGAGAUCAGGCGGAACACCCGUGGCGAAGGCGGCCAGCUGGGCCGUCCCUGACGCUGAGGCGCGAAGGCGUGGGGAGCGAACGGG